rnacentral:rRNA from 1 species
AGAGUUUGAUCCUGGCUCAGAUUGAACGCUGGCGGCAUGCCUUACACAUGCAAGUCGAACGGCAGCGCGGGGCAACCUGGCGGCGAGUGGCGAACGGGUGAGUAAUAUAUCGGAACGUACCCUGGAGUGGGGGAUAACGUAGCGAAAGUUACGCUAAUACCGCAUACGAUCUAAGGAUGAAAGUGGGGGAUCGCAAGACCUCAUGCUCCUGGAGCGGCCGAUAUCUGAUUAGCUAGUUGGUGGGGUAAAGGCCUACCAAGGCAUCGAUCAGUAGCUGGUCUGAGAGGACGACCAGCCACACUGGAACUGAGACACGGUCCAGACUCCUACGGGAGGCAGCAGCGGGGAAUAUUGCACAAUGGGCGAAAGCCUGAUGCAGCAACGCCGCGUGCGGGAAGAAGGCCCUAGGGUUGUAAACCGCUUUCAGCAGGGAAGAAAAUGACGGUACCUGCAGAAGAAGGUGCGGCCAACUACGUGCCAGCAGCCGCGGUGACACGUAGGCACCAAGCGUUGUCCGGAUUUAUUGGGCGUAAAGAGCUCGUAGGCGGUUCAGUAAGUCGGGUGUGAAAACUCUGGGCUCAACCCAGAGAGGCCACCCGAUACUGCUGUGACUUGAGUACGGUAGGGGAGCGGGGAAUUCCUGGUGUAGCGGUGAAAAUGCGCAGAUAUCAGGAGGAACACCAGUGGCG